AAAUGCAACUUGAGGUAGUUGUUAAGCUGUUUUUGAAUAAAUAACUAAAUAAGUUAGGAAAUGAUGCUAAGUAUUUAGAUUUUUUUUUGAACAUAAUAGCAUGCCUAGACAACGAGAUUGAGAUAUUUCUACUCGUGGCCGGCGUCAAGCUUUCUGAGAGGACACUCUCACGUUUCUUGAGGAUAUAGAUGAUGCCUUGGGGACCGAGCCUCGCCCUUCUACAAGUAGGGGUAGGUGGACCCCGCCUUUGUGGACAUCAGACGAGUUGGUUUUCUGUUGUGAGAAUCAUUUUUCUCACUGUCCACUUACCGGCGUAGUCGAUGGUGUGCUUCACCAUCAUGGUUCAGGAGCUAGAGACUUGAUUCCCCGACUAUACAGGAUCAUCACAUGGGAUCCUACCACCAACGCCUUAUGGGGGUCUGCUGGUUUGAGAGAUUAUUAUUCAGUAGUUGUGGGAUUUCACAGCCCCCAAGGCUGUGGUUUGAUAGUUGUCCGAGCGCUGUUGGAGUAUUUUUGGUAUACUACCAACACUUUCCACUUCGCUUGGGGGGAGAUGAUGGUGACUCCUCUUGAUUUCAGCAUGAUCAGCGGCUUGCGCUUCACCAAGCAGCUUGUUCAGCAAAUUCCUGACUUCACUUAGAGGGAGAAUAAGGUAUUGCAACUGUUAGGUCCUGUCGUUCACCAUAUUAGGACUCGACUGGUGCCUUAGGGUGGUCCUAGGAGUGGGUGAUCAGAGAUGGCUUCUAUUCUUGCCCAUGGUUUUGAUAUACCUAAUACGACGCCUGAGCAGCGAAUACGAAUCUUUAUCUUGAUUCUUAUUUCUAGGACUCUUUCUCAUGAUAGGAGUUCUCGUGCGCUUGUUUGUUACUUGUCGUCUCUAACCGUGAUUGGUGAAAUAGGAUCCUUAAGUUGGGCUAGUGUGGGGUAUGCUGAUCUACUCUCGUCGCUGCGUCAUAGCUAUAGGCAGCUGAACGAUCAGACGCCUGUUGCUGUUUGUGGUGUGUGGAGAGUCGUAGAGGUGAUGAUAUUUUCCUCUUCAUGUUUAGCUAUUACUGGUUUGGCUUAUGUGCUUAUAGAUUAUUCUUGGUGCAGUUGUGGUUCUAUGAGUACUUUCCGGGAUUAGCCCCUCGAUGUUGUCGCAGAGCGAUCCAUGAUUUUUCUGUCGGUUUCAACUAGCGUGACCGAGGCGAGUCACGGGUGGAGUCUGUAUCGAGUCUGCGCGGGUUGUUGCAUCGGGGUACCUCUAAUGUUGGCGUAUGGGUUUAUUUCAUAGUGUAGUAUUUUUUUAACUUUGAUGUUAUUUUUUGGCAUUUAUUGCAAUCUCUUAUGGUAUUCAGGUCCUUGUCGAAAUCCACUAUCGGCCUUGCGCUAGCAUGACCAUCCUUCCCGAGGCUUUGGAGCUUUUGGCGUGCCGUACUGUCUUCUUUGUGGAUGUUGCACUCACGCUUGAUGGGGGAGCUGCUGGACAGGAGAGUGCGCUAUAAGUUUCCUUGGCAGGAGUUCGUGGGCAUGGACGUCAAUUAUUCUCAGGACUUGCUUUCUUACUUGGCUCCUUUGUCUCAUCUUCCCGAGACGACUGUUCGUCGUAGGGGGAAGGUCAAGAUCUCGCCUCAGUCCGUUCGUUAUUCGGGGCCGAUUAGCAUGGUUUAGGAUCAUAUUGCUGAUGCACCGGAGGGUUUUAGACAGGCGUAGGAGUCCUUGCUCGAUGAGUUCGAGCCGGUAAGUUUUCUGACAGAUCUUUCAUUCUUCUUAAUAUUUCUUGUUGUUGAUUUUUUUUUUGCUUCCAGGUCACGCACUCGGAUAUGAUGGGCUUUAUGAAGUUGAUUGAUGCCCUAAAGUAUUGUGUCAUCAAGAUACGACGCGGUGCGAGUUGUCAGAGUGGUUCAGACGAUGUUCAUGAGGUAUAUUCAUCUAUUUUCCUAUGUUUACCUUUUUUACAUCACUAAUAUCUUUUCAUUUUGUCUAUUUCAGGAGCGACGAAGGCGACGGAGGUCUCGCUUGAGCUCCAGGCAUAGAGGCUCGAACGAUGGGGAGCCUAGUCGCCGCAGACGAUCCUUUGAGGUUCGUCGGCAUUCUCAAACACAGUGGUAGCAACCUAAGACUUUUCAGCCAUUUCAGGGGCUUCAGACUCAGUGGAAGUAGUCUUAGUCUUCUCAGCCAUUUUAGAAGACUCGGUGACAACAACCUUAGCCUUCUCAACCAUUCCAACACUUUCAGGCUCAGUGGCAGCAUCCUCCAUCUUCCAAGCCAUUCCGGCCUUCACAGUUUGAGUCUAGGUCGGUCAUUACUCCUGCAGACCAGGGCAUAUUUUCUGUUCCAUUGUCUGGGACGAUGCCUCCAUCGACGCUUCCUACAUCUUGGAGUCAGCCUACACAGUUUACCAGCUAGACAGGACCUACUUUGAGUAUGUCUUCUGCUGGAGCUGUGGGGACUAGUAGGGACACUACUCCUUGUACUCGGAUGAUGGAGGGUCUUUUUGGUCCACCAUUCCCUAACUCGCGGUCUCAUGAUGAUAAUGAUCGUAGUUAUAGAUCUGGAGAGUUUUGACCAAGGGUUUUAUUAUGUACUUGGUUGAUGACACUUCAGCAAAUUCGGACAUAACAUCCGGAUCAGAGGAUCCGCAGGAACCCUGGGCUCCUCGAAUGCAAACUGCCAGCGGACACGCUCGCCUAAAUACUAAGUGUCUGUCCUCUAGAGGACUGGAAGUCCCUGAUAAAGGGCCCGAAAACGGCAACAAAUCAUGUCAGACCGGACAGCCUCAAGGACUCCGACGAUCAAACUCCAAGGACGGAGGUUGAUCUAUAAACACAGCCACAUGAAAAAUCAUCAGAAAAUGAAUAAAAAAAAAUCAAAACAUGCACAUGUGGUUGAAAUACUCAUCAACGCAUGAAUCGCCGAAAGGAUGCUCUGGCGAAAGUCGCCUGCUGAAGUGGCUCGUUUUUUCUUAAUCGUGACCAGUCGAUUGCCGAUAGGAAAACGAGCAGCCCCAAGCAUCCUGGGGGCCAAGAAAGGCUGGUACGAGUAUCACCAAGCCUAAAAGAAAACCGAAAAAUAAUAAGCUUAAAGGGGAAAAGAAAAAAUAAUGAUUGUAAUAAACUUAAAGCACGUACCUCAAGGAUACGAUCGUGCUACGUAAGGGAGAUCCGAGGAACCUCAGUGGCUGCCGCGAAAUCCAUCACCUGGGUCGCCUUGCCCAUAGCUGUAAGCAUACGGGCAUAUGACACCUCCGCCCAACUCAGGUUACCUACUUACCCCAAAUUACUAAGGCAAAUAAGUAACCCGAUAGCAAAACGUUCUCCCCGAUCACUCAAGAUAGUGACGGAAAGAACGUGAGCAAUGUAUAUCCGAGCCAGCUGCUGAUCGAGGGUUAGAUAGGCCGUUAAACUACUACCCUAAUCAAAUUAAUCAUUUAUAUUCCUAAACUACCCUAAUACAAGUAUAGGGUCAUGUAAAGAUUCGAACCACUAAGGAAGCUCACUCAUUCAACAUCAGUUUUAACUAAUACAAGAGUAAAAAGGGGAAUGUUUUUGUUGGUUUUUGAAUAAAGAGCACUAAAACUACAAAUAAGCAAAGAAAAUGAUGAUUAAAAUCAAGAGAGAACAACGCUAGGGAUACGGAGGUGUCAAAUAUGAUUAGAAAGAGGGGAACAAUAAUGGUUAUCAUGAAGAACAUGUCAAAGAACACAAGAUUCUACCUAAACAAUUCAUUCUCAUGCAAUAGUCUAGGAAAAUCAAUGAAAAAGGCCUAUACUAAUAAGGAUUAUUCUCAUGCAUCCUAUUAGUUACAAUCAAAUCAAGAGAAUAAAGAAGCACAAAGUGCCACAAUAAUCUCA